AGAGUUUGAUCCUGGCUCAGAAUGAACGUUGGCGGCGUGGAUUAGGCAUGCAAGUUGAGCGAGAAGUUUUGGGAAGAUACUUCGGUUGAUUUUCAGGACGGACAGCGGCGAAAGGGAGAGUAACGAGUAGAUACGUACCCAAGGGUUCGGGAUAGCCAUGCGAAAGCGUGAGUAAUACCGAAUAAUGUCUCCGGACCAAAGAUUUAUUGCCCUUGGAGCGGUCUGCUUACUAUUAGCUUGUUGGUGGGGUAAUGGCCUACCAAGGCAAAGAUGGUUAGCGGGUGUGAGAGCAUGGCCCGUCUCACUGGGACUGAGACACUGCCCAGACACCUACGGGUGGCUGCAGUCGAGAAUCUUCCGCAAUGGGCGAAAGCCUGACGGAGCGACGCCGCGUGCUGGAUGAAGGCCCUCGGGUUGUAAACAGCUGUCGUAGGGGAGGAAAUUUUGACCGAUCCUAGGAGGAAGCACAGGCUAAGUUCGUGCCAGCAGCCGCGGUAAUACGAACUGUGCGAACGUUAUUCGGAAUCACUGGGCUUAAAGGGUGCGUAGGCGGGUUGGUAGGUCAGAUGUGAAAGCCCACGGCUCAACCGUGGAAUUGCGUUUGAAACCACUAGUCUUGAGGGGAUCAGAGGAGAGCGGAACUGAUGGUGGAGCGGUGAAAUGCGUUGAUAUUAUCAGAACACCGGUGGCGAAAGCGG
rnacentral:rRNA from 1 species